rnacentral:rRNA from 1 species
GACGAACGCUGGCGGCGUGCUUAACACAUGCAAGUCGAACGGGGCGAAGUGAUAGCUUGCUGUUAUGGAGCCUAGUGGCAAACGGGUGAGUAACGCGUAGGCAACCUGCCCUUCAGAUGGGGACAACACCUCGAAAGGGGUGCUAAUACCGAAUGACGUUUCCUGGUCGCAUGACCUGGAAACCAAAGGCCGGGCAACCGGUCACUGAAGGAUGGGCCUGCGUCUGAUUAGCUUGUUGGCGGGUAACGGCCCACCAAGGCGACGAUCGGUAGGGCUCGUGAGAGGAGGGUCCCCCACACUUGGAACUGAGACACGGUCCAAACUCCUACGGGAGGCAGCAGUGAGGAAUA